rnacentral:ncRNA from 1 species
ACACAACUCUGGAGAGUCCCUUAAAUGGGCGCCGAAGGUGCACGAACGUCGUUGAUGUUUCUUAUCUCUCAGGCCAAUGGACAGAGCA